AGUGAACGCUGGCGGUAGGCCUAACACAUGCAAGUCGAACGGCAGCACAGUAAGAGCUUGCUCUUACGGGUGGCGAGUGGCGGACGGGUGAGGAAUACAUCGGAAUCUACUUUUUCGUGGGGGAUAACGUAGGGAAACUUACGAUAAUACCGCAUACGACCUACGGGUGAAAGCAGGGGAUCUUCGGACCUUGCGCGAUUGAAUGAGACGAUGUCGGAUUAGCUAGUUGGCGGGGUAAAGGCCCACCAAGGCGACGAUCCGUAGCUGGUCUGAGAGGAUGAUCAGCCACACUGGAACUGAGACACGGUCCAGACUCCUACGGGAGGCAGCAGUGGGGAAUAUUGGACAAUGGGCGCAAGCCUGAUCCAGCCAUACCGCGUGAGUGAAGAAGGCCUUCGGGUUGUAAAGCCCUUUUGUUGGGAAAGAAAAGCAGCAGGUUAAUACCCCGCUGUUCUGACGGUACCCAAAGAAUAAGCACCGGCUAACUUCGUG
rnacentral:rRNA from 1 species